UACGUAGGGUGCAAGCGUUGUCCGGAAUUAUUGGGCGUAAAGAGCUCGUAGGCGGUCUGUCGCGUCUGCUGUGAAAACUCAGGGCUCAACUCCGAGCUUGCAGUGGGUACGGGCAGACUAGAGUGCGGUAGGGGAGACUGGAAUUCCUGGUGUAGCGGUGGAAUGCGCAGAUAUCAGGAGGAACACCGGUGGCGAAGGCGGGUCUCUGGGCCGUAACUGACGCUGAGGAGCGAAAGCAUGGGGAGCGAACAGG
rnacentral:rRNA from 1 species